rnacentral:rRNA from 1 species
AGCAGCCGCGGUAAUUCCAGCUCCAAUAGCGUAUAUUAAAGUUGUUGCAGUUAAAAAGCUCGUAGUUGAAUUUCGGGGUCAGUAGGUCGGUCGUGCCACUGGUAUGAACUGGUUUUACUGAUUCCUCCCUCUUGAAGAACUGUAAUGCCAUUAAUUUGGUGUUGCAGGGAAUCAGGACUGUUACUUUGAAAAAUUAGAGUGUUUAAAGCAGGCUUUAGCUUGAAUACAUUAGCAUAGAAUAAUGAAAUAGGACGUUUGAUCCUAUUUUGUUGGUUUCUAGGAUUGACGUAAUGAUUAAUAGGGAUAGUUGGGGGCAUUAGUAUUCAAUUGUCAGAGGUGAAAUUCUUGGAUUUAUUGAAGACUAACUACUGCGAAAGCAUUUUUGCCAAGGAUGUUUUCUAUUAAUCAAGAACGAAGUUAGGGGAUCGAAGACGAUCAGAUACCGUCGUAGUCUUAACCAUAAACUAU